CUCAUAUUGAACCUAGUGAUUUAUGAGUUAGUGGCGGACGGGUGAGUAACGCGUGGAAAACCUGCCGUAUACCGGGGGAUAACACUUAGAAAUAGGUGCUAAUACCGCAUAAGCGCACAGCUUCGCAUGAAGCAGUGUGAAAAACUCCGGUGGUAUACGAUGGUUCCGCGUCUGAUUAGCUAGUUGGCGGGGUAACGGCCCACCAAGGCAGCGAUCAGUAGCCGGCCUGAGAGGGUGGACGGCCACAUUGGGACUGAGACACGGCCCAAACUCCUACGGGAGGCAGCAGUGGGGAAUAUUGCACAAUGGGGGAAACCCUGAUGCAGCGACGCCGCGUGAGUGAAGAAGUAAUUCGGUAUGUAAAGCUCUGUCAGCAGGGAAGAAAGAAAUGACGGUACCUGACCAAGAAGCCCCGGCUAACUACGUGCCAGCAGCCGCGGUAAUACGUAGGGGGCAAGCGUUAUCCGGAAUUACUGGGUGUAAAGGGAGCGUAGACGGUUAAGUAAGUCUGGAGUGAAAGGCCGGGGCCCAACCCCGGGACUGCUCUGGAAACUAUUGAACUUGAGUGCAGGAGAGGUAAGCGGAAUUCCUAGUGUAGCGGUGAAAUGCGUAGAUAUUAGGAGGAACACCAGUGGCGAAGGCGGCUUACUGGACUGUAACUGACGUUGAGGCUCGAAAGCGUGGGGAGCAAACAGGAUUAGAUACCCUGGUAGUCCACGCCGUANACGAUGAUUACUAGGUGUCGGUGGGUANGGACCCAUCGGUGCC
rnacentral:rRNA from 1 species